rnacentral:lncRNA from 1 species
AGUGCCUACUAAGAUCAAUGUCAUAAAAGCAGAAUGUGUACGGUCACGCUUUCGCCUUGUCACGAUUCUCUGAAGUACCUGAAACCAUAAACCAAAACUGUAAGCACAAAACUUAGUGAGUUCCCCCAAAGUACCAACACAUAGACAGAUGUCAUAUACCAACAAACAGCAUGCAAACAAGGCCUUCAGCAUGACUGGAACACCACACCGGCCUACAGUCUAUCUGGUACGCCCACAGAGCCUUCAGUCUGACUGGAAUGCCCCAUCGGCCUACAGUCUAUCUGGUACGCUCACAUAACCUUCAGCAUGGCUGGUACUCCUUACCGGGCCUUCAACUUGGAACGUUCUCCGGGCCUUCGGUCUGACUGGUAAGCCCUACUGGCCUUCAGUCUAUCCUGG